CACUCACUCUAGCCCAGGCGACAAAGUGAGACUCUGUCUCAAAAAAGAAGAAAAUCAGAAGUUUACAUUCAAAGCAUAAGAGAGUCUCUUCUGACCGGACCCUGGAGAAGCCGAGGGGACCCGGCUGGGAGCUGAGCGUGCCAACCAAGGCAUCCUUCGUUCUGAAGAAGGGUGCUUGGAGGGGCAACAGGGCACUCGAGAGGUGGCCACACAGGUCAGGAGGUGCUAAGGGCUUCCAUGGCCACAUGGAGAAAAAACAGUCCUGCUCGCAUGGAAAUGUCUUUUCAAAUUCUUCCACAAAAAGGUGUCCAGUUGGACACUGGUCUUGUUCCUUAAAAGAGCAGGAGGUUAUUAUAUGAAUGUUGAAAGUCUCACUUUUUUUUUUUUUUCCUUUUAGCAGGCUGGAUACCCCCUUCCCUUGUCUCAUCCCAGACAGAAAGACCAGUGAGGCAUUAGGGCCGGGUCAUCAUUUGGUUUUGCUCAGAAACAGCCUGGGCCUCCCCAUCAUCCCUUAGAUAAAAGACAAUUCUUCUAAAGCUUCAGUGAUCUUAUUACACCUAUGACGGCAUGAAAUAAACUGACCAUUGCAGCAGGCGACAUAAAGUUGAAAAAUCAGUCUUCAACCCUAAGUCCCCAGGAAAUUUACAACUGGGGGAGUGUGGAAAAGUGGGCAGGACAGGUCUAGGCACAGCCACCUGUGGGAACAGCUUCCCCCAGGCUCACGAAUAACCAGCAACUGUGGAUUUCAGUCCUCCUUAGGAGUCUGGGAUCCUGUAAUUUUCCACUGUUAUUGUUCCGUUUGAGUUUUCAAAAGUGGCUUGGGUUAAAUCGGAUCAUUUGUCUCCCCGGUAGUUUUCCAGCCAUGCUUUAUUUUCUCAGGGAUCUGAUCUAUACGGCCCUAAGGGAGACGCCCGCUCUGUCUGGCCGGAACUUCCCGCCCCCGCGCCGGGCUGCGGUUUAGCGGGAGCAGCGGGGGAAGCCGGUCGCGCCUGCGCACAGCAGCCCGUCCACAGUUGGCGCUUCCUGAAACCCCGAGGCGACACCCGUGUCUUCUGUCGCUGCCGCACCUGGACAAGAGUUUCCACGAAGAAACGGCCAAACAGGGUCGCCUUCAACUACUCUAAACGCAUGUCGUGCUCCCAGAUUGGUGGUGAUUGAACAAGUAAACAAACAAAAAAGGGUUUUAUUCGGGCAUCAAUAUUUUCAAGAGGCUCAAGCCUUUCCGCCGUCUUUCUUGGAACAUUUAUGUCAAGCACACCUGACCAUUCCUAAGGAAAGUCUCUGUAACAGACUGGUCUGGUACCAAGAAAAGCUUCUCAAACAUUCACCCAACCAAGAGGCGGGACAGUCAACACUGCAAGCCACGAGCAAACAAACUCUCCUACAGGGAAAAGAAAAACACUCAUUUGGGACGCGGCCAAAGAGAGGACCGCGGGCCCGGCGCUCAAGCUUAUACCUGACCGUCUGCGUCUCAGCUGUUUUACGUGGACUGCUGUGAGUUUCUGCCCAGCACAAUUUUUAAAUUAAAUAUAACAUACAACCUGCUUUGAUGAUUCUGUAGCACAAUGUUUUCUAAAUUCUAAUAUUUCACUGGAUAAAAUGCUUCAAUUCCUUUAGACAAGAGCGCUCAUUUUUCUGUUGUUUUUGCCAAAUAGGCAGAUGGAAAGGAUGUACCGUGCGAGAGUCUAGGAUUGGGCACUGCGGGGUAGAAGUGAUGAAUCCAAGCUUACUGAUCCUGUUUGCUUUCUGUGGUGCCUUCUGGCAGCCUGUGUUAGAUGUGUCACAGGCUGUCUGGCCACGCACGGUGCUUGGUGACGGUGGUGGAUUUCGACGUGUGACGCUAAAACGCCAGGGAGGAAAGUGACAGAAACUGUUAAAAAUGAGUGGAAAUGAGUAAAAUGGAAGGAUGAAAAUAAGAAGAACAAAAAGAGAAUGAAAGAAAAAACAAAGAGCCCAGAGAACUUAAUAAAGAAUAAAGGCAUUCUGAACUACCAUGAGAUGGGAUACAAUUGUAGUGUGACAUUAAUCUUCUUCCAGUUAUAUGCCCUGUGUCUCCCCCACCCGCCCCCAGACUGCCUAACUAGCUUUCUUCUUACUGCUCUCUCCUCGCUGUAUUUACCCUACAGGGAAGGAGUCAAGAAGACGGUCUUGACAAAGUGUGACACCUGCCAUCACUGCAUAUGUUUAGGUUCACAAGCGGGAAGAAUCAAAAGGGUGCUAUGUCCCCAGGGCAUUUUGUGUAGUGAUCUGUUCCCAGGUGGCAGUGAUAUCUCCAACAAGUCUACAUGACCUGUACAUAGCUUCACCUGAAUAGAGGUGUCAACCACACUUCCAUUGUAAAAAAAAAAAACAAAGAGUUCCUUGUAAUAGGAGCAGUCAAAUGUAAAACGUAAAGGCCAAUGCAAACAAAGCAAGAUUUAAAGAAACCAAUGGCUAGCAAGGGAGUGUAUCUAUCUCAGUAGUCUGCCCAUAACCGUUAUAAUUCAUUAUGCACCCAGAUGAGGCCUUUAGAUCUUUUCUCUCACCUAUUUUAUCUACAUGGAAGCCCAGAGGUUGACCCUAUUCCAUAGUUAAGUCUUUAUCAUUAUCCAAUAGAACUGGCAGGAGGAAAAAGUCCCACCCUCCCCACUCCAUCCAUCUCUCCCUCCUGCUGUGAGGGAGAGAAUGGUCUCAUUCUCUCUCUCUCUCUCUCUCUCUCUCUCUCUCUCCCCUUAAUGAGGCAGAAGCAGAAUAAAGGAUCACAGUCCUGUAAAUGCAUUUGUGCACACUGGUUUCCACACUACCCCUAGUCUUAAGGUUGCCACUUUACUAAUGGAAAUGUAGCAACUCUGCCCCUCAUUCUCUCACAAAGAAAUAAAAUACGUCACUAAAACA